rnacentral:lncRNA from 1 species
UCUCCUCCUCACGGGGAGGGGGUCGGACCGCGAUCGGCGACGCCCACAGCCGAGCUCUCGGCUUCCUCGAUCGAGCCCGCGGCCGAGCUCUCGGCUUCCCCGGCCAAGCCCGCGGCCGAGCUCUCGGCUUCCCCGGCCGAGCCCGCACCGGCGACGCUCACGGCCGUACACGGGCAAGUCCCCUCCUCCUCUCCUUUUUCUCUCUCUCCUUGGUUCCGAUCGGAA